rnacentral:rRNA from 1 species
CGUAGGUGGCAAGCGUUGUCCGGAGUUACUGGGUGUAAAGGGCGUGUAGGCGGGAAGAUAAGUCAGAUGUGAAAUUCCAUGGCUCAACUGUGGCGCUGCAUCUGAAACUAUUUUUCUUGAGUGAUGGAGAGGAAAGCGGAAUUCCUAGUGUAGCGGUGAAAUACGUAGAUAUUAGGAGGAACACCAGUGGCGAAGGCGGCUUUCUGGACAUUAACUGACGCUGAGGCGCGAAAGCGUGGGGAGCAAACAGGAUUAGAUACCCUGGUAGUCCACGCUGUAAACGAUGGAUACUAGGUGUAGGAGGUAUCGACCCCUUCUGUGCCGGAGUUAACACAAUAAGUAUCCCACCUGGGGAGUACGGCCGCAAGGUUG